AGAACGAACGCUGGCGGCAGGCCUAACACAUGCAAGUCGAGCGCUGUAGCAAUACAGAGCGGCGCACGGGUGAGUAACACGUGGGAACGUGCCCUUUGGUUCGGAAUAACUCAGGGAAACUUGAGCUAAUACCGGAUAAGCCCUCCGGGGGAAAGAUUUAUCGCCAUUGGAGCGGCCCGCGUUGGAUUAGCUAGUUGGUGGGGUAAAAGCCUACCAAGGCAACGAUCCAUAGCUGGUUUGAGAGAACGACCAGCCACACUGGGACUGAGACACGGCCCAGACUCCUACGGGAGGCAGCAGUGGGGAAUCUUGGACAAUGGGGGCAACCCUGAUCCAGCCAUGCCGCGUGAGUGAUGAAGGCCCUAGGGUUGUAAAACUCUUUCGCGCACGACGAUAAUGACGGUAGUGCGAGAAGAAGCUCCGGCUAACUUCGCGCCAGCAGCCGC
rnacentral:rRNA from 1 species